rnacentral:rRNA from 1 species
GUCUACGGCCAUGCCAUCCUGAACGUGCCCGAUCUCAUCUGAUCUCAGAAGCUAAGCAGGGUCGGGCCUGGUUAGUGCUUGGAUGGGAGACCACCUAGGAAGACCAGGUGCUGUAGGCG